rnacentral:rRNA from 1 species
ACACAUGCAAGUCGAACGAGCGUGUGUGAAUUUACUUUCUCGUGCGUGCGGCGAACGGGUGAGUAACGCGUGAGGAUCCUGCCUCAAAGAGGAGGACAACAGUUGGAAACGACUGCUAAUACCGCAUAAGCCCACGGUGCCGCAUGGCACAGAGGGAAAAGGAGUAAUCCGCUUUGAGAUGGCCUCGCGUCCGAUUAGCUAGUUGGUGAGGUAACGGCCCACCAAGGCGACGAUCGGUAGCCGGACUGAGAGGUUGAACGGCCACAUUGGGACUGAGACACGGCCCAGACUCCUACGGGAGGCAGCAGUGGGGAAUAUUGCACAAUGGGGGAAACCCUGAUGCAGCGACGCCGCGUGGAGGAAGAAGGUCUUCGGAUUGUAAACUCCUGUUGUUGAGGAAGAUAAUGACGGUACUCAACAAGGAAAGUGACGGCUAACUACGUGCCAGCAGCCGCGGUAAAACGUAGGUCACAAGCGUUGUCCGGAAUUACUGGGUGUAAAGGGAGCGCAGGCGGGAAGACAAGUUGGAAGUGAAAUCCAUGGGCUCAACCCAUGAACUGCUUUCAAAACUGUUUUUCUUGAGUAGUGCAGAGGUAGGCGGAAUUCCCGGUGUAGCGGUGGAAUGCGUAGAUAUCGGGAGGAACACCAGUGGCGAAGGCGGCCUACUGGGCACCAACUGACGCUGAGGCUCGAAAGUGUGGGUAGCAAACAGGAUUAGAUACCCUGGUAGUCCACACUGUAAACGAUGAUUACUAGGUGUUGGAGGAUUGACCCCUUCAGUGCCGCAGUUAACACAAUAAGUAAUCCACCUGGGGAGUACGACCGCAAGGUUGAAACUCAAAGGAAUUGACG